GACGAACCGAGCGAACGUUGUUCGGAAUCACUGGGCUUAAAGGGCGCGUAGGCGGGUGCUCAAGUCCGUGGUGAAAUCCUCCGGCUCAACCGGAGAACGGCCAUGGAUACUGGGUGCCUCGAGGGUGAUAGGGGUAUGCGGAACUAUCGGUGGAGCGGUGAAAUGCGUUGAUAUCGAUAGGAACUCCGGUGGCGAAGGCGGCAUACUGGAUCACUUCUGACGCUGAGGCGCGAAAGCCAGGGGAGCGAACGGG
rnacentral:rRNA from 1 species